rnacentral:rRNA from 1 species
CCCUUAGAUGUUCUGGGCCGCACGCGCGCUACACUGAUGCAUUCAACGAGUCUAAAACCUGCUCUGAUAGGGGUGGGUAAUCUUUUGAAUGUGCAUCGUGAUUGGGAUAGAUGAUUGCAAUUUUUCAUCUUCAACGAGGAAUGCCUAGUAAACGCAAGUCAUCAGCUUGCAUUGACUACGUCCCUGCCCUUUGUACACACCGCCCGUCGCUCCUACCGAUUGAAUGAUCCGAUGAAUAUCAUGGAUUGAGGAUGCAAGUAGGUUCGCCUAUCUUCAUCUUCGAGAAGUGAAGUAAAUCUUAUCAUUUAGAGGAAGGAGAAGUCGUAACA